rnacentral:rRNA from 1 species
UACGUAGGAGGCGAGCGUUGUCCGGAGUUACUGGGCGUAAAGGGUGCGCAGGCGGUGGCCCGCGUGGGCGGUGAAAGCUCCUGGCUCAACUGGGAGAGGGCCGUCCAGACGGGGUCACUUGAGGGGCGGAGAGGGGCGUGGAAUUCCGGGUGGAGCGGUGAAAUGCGUAGAGAUCGGGAGGAACACCAGUGGCGAAGGCGGCCGGCUGGGGGUGCCCUGACGCUGAGGCGCGAAAGCGUGGGGAGCGAACCGG